rnacentral:rRNA from 1 species
GAUGAACGCUGGCGGCGUGCCUAAUACAUGCAAGUCGAGCGAACAGACGAGGAGCUUGCUCCUUUGACGUUAGCGGCGGACGGGUGAGUAACACGUAGGUAACCUACCUAUAAGACUGGGAUAACUUCGGGAAACCGGAGCUAAUACCGGAUAAUAUUUCGAACCGCAUGGUUCGAUAGUGAAAGAUGGCUUUGCUAUCACUUAUAGAUGGACCUGCGCCGUAUUAGCUAGUUGGUAAGGUAACGGCUUACCAAGGCAACGAUACGUAGCCGACCUGAGAGGGUGAUCGGCCACACUGGAACUGAGACACGGUCCAGACUACUACGGGAGGCAGCAGUAGGGAAUCUUCCGCAAUGGGCGAAAGCCUGACGGAGCAACGCCGCGUGAGUGAUGAAGGUCUGCGGAUCGUAAAACUCUGUUAUUAGGGAAGAACAAACGUGUAAGUAACUGUGCACGUCUUGACGGUACCUAAGCAGAAAGCCACGGCUAACUACGU